UACGGAGGGUGCAAGCGUUAUCCGGAUUCACUGGGUUUAAAGGGUGUGUAGGCGGACUAUUAAGUCCGAGGUGAAAUCUCCGAGCUUAACUCGGAAACUGCCUUGGAUACUAUUAGUCUUGAAUAUCGUUGAGGUAGGCGGAAUAUGUCAUGUAGCGGUGAAAUGCUUAGAUAUGACAUAGAACACCGAUUGCGAAGGCAGCUUGCUAAACGAUGAUUGACGCUGAGGCACGAAAGCGUGGGGAUCAAACAGG
rnacentral:rRNA from 1 species